rnacentral:rRNA from 1 species
GAUGAACGCUGGCGGCGUGCCUAAUACAUGCAAGUCGAACGAGUGGCGGACGGGUGAGUAAUGUCUGGGAAACUGCCCGAUGGAGGGGGAUAACUACUGGAAACGGUAGCUAAUACCGCAUACCAUCGGAUGUGCCCAGAUGGGAUUAGCUUGUAGGUGAGUUAACGGCUCACCUAGGCGACGAUCCCUAGCUGGUCUGAGAGGAUGGGCAGCCAAAAUGGAACUGGGACACGGGCCAUACUCCUACGGGAGGCAGCAGUGGGGAAUAUUGCACAAUGGGCGCAAGCCUGAUGCAGCCAUGCCGCGUGUAUGAAGAAGGCCUUCGGGUUGUAAAGUACUUUCAGCGGGGAGGCGUUACCAACAGAAUAAGCACCGGCUAACUGCGUGCCAGCAGCCGCGGUAAUUC